rnacentral:rRNA from 1 species
AGUGAACGCUGGCGGUAGGCCUAACACAUGCAAGUCGAACGGCAGCACAGUAAGAGCUUGCUCUUACGGGUGGCGAGUGGCGGACGGGUGAGGAAUACAUCGGAAUCUACUUUUUCAUGGGGGAUAACGUAGGGAAACUUACGCUAAUACCGCAUACGACCUACGGGUGAAAGCAGGGGAUCUUCGGACCUUGUGCGAUUGAAUGAGCCGAUGUCGGAUUAGCUAGUUGGCGGGGUAAAGGCCCACCAAGGCGACGAUCCGUAGCUGGUCUGAGAGGAUGAUCAGCCACACUGGAACUGAGACACGGUCCAGACUCCUACGGGAGGCAGCAGUGGGGAAUAUUGGACAAUGGGCGCAAGCCUGAUCCAGCCAUACCGCGUGGGUGAAGAAGGCCUUCGGGUUGUAAAGCCCUUUUGUUGGGAAAGAAAAGCAGCAGGUUAAUACCCCGCUGUUCUGACGGUACCCAAAGAAUAAGCACCGGCUAACUUCGUG